UUUUUAAAUGUGUUGGUAGAGGAAAGGUCUCCUGAGGUAUCAAAUUUUUGAAUUAUCCUCUGGGGAUCAUGAAUACCAAUGAACGUAUCUCUUUCUUUGGGUACUUCAAAUCUUCUGGAGGUACAAAAAAAGUUUUUCCUUGCAUCACUCACGAUGUGUUGCUCAGACUUGCGAGUUCUUGAGUGUGUUUAUCUCUGGUGGACUAAAAAAAAAUAGAUUACACUUCAUAUUUUAUAUCCUCUGUUGAGUCCUGAGUAGGCCUGUCGCGAUAAUCAAUAAAUCGCCUUAUCGCUCGAUAAAUAAAAACGAGGUCGAUAACUUUGCCAGCCUAAAUAAUUGACGUGCGUUUGUUUUCCUCCUCUCUUGCUACCAAACACGCUGGAUGAGAGAAGAGGUCUCACUCUGCGCAUUUUUCUCGGCACCUGGGGGCGUUGGCUCUAUAGCGGAAUGAACGGAGUUAGUGAACCCUCCUGUCAGUCAUUCAGUGUCUUUGUUACGAGGGGGCGCGCGCGCACAGGUACACGUAGGCGCGCACAGGCACACAGACACAGACUUUUUGGAUACAGUGCUGCAAGUGAGCGUCGUGAGUGAAAAGCAAGCUAACAGAAUGAACACGACAGCUUUGGUGUAUAAAAACCGAACGCAACAGCCCAAGUGUGGGAAUAUUUCGGCUUUAAACCAGUUUUGUUUUCGUCAACCACAAAACUCCACGUGUGUGUGCGCGCGCGCGUGCGUGUGUGUCUGUGUGUUGGAGGAGCACAGCAGGCUGAUGAGAGCUGUCAGAGCGGACUGAAGCUGCUCCUAUAUGUUUAGCGUUUAACUGACUGAGUUUUGCAACUCUGUUCGUCAUUUUCGUCUCGUCCCAUCAACGUAAACGCACUUUCGUCUCGUCACAUUAUAGUCAUCUCCGACUUAUGUUUAGCUCGUCAACGUUACGUCUUCGUCGUGGGAGAAAAGGGAAAUAUUUUAGUCAACGAAAACAACCAGUGUUGUUCUCGUGUGGAAAUUAAAGUUUAUCACUUUUGACAUGGUGUACUCGCAUUAUUAUGCCAUAUAAUAUCAUUAUCUAUAAUUUAAAAAAUGGUGUCAAUAAUACCGUUUAUCGGCGAUAAUUUGUAGCACAAUUAUCGUCCAGCAAAAUUUGUUAUCGUGACAGGCCUAGUCCUGAGGUUUUCAGGUCAGUUGAGAACCAGUGUCUCAUUCAUUUAUUCUAACAGGAAGAAUUAUUCACUGUUAGUGGAAACGCCACUGGAUAAUGUGGUGAGUUGAUGUUAGCGAUACAGAGUUAUCCACUGCUUGGUUUCAAACAUUCUUGUAACCGGGCCAAGUGGACAUGAGAUGUUGGGUUGACUGUUAUGAAAUAAAUGCCUGCCUGCUUCAAUAACUU